rnacentral:piRNA from 1 species
UGGUUUUCCCAGGGCGAGGCUUAUCCAUUG